rnacentral:rRNA from 1 species
CCUACGGGUGACAGCAGGGAGGAAUAUUGGUCAAUGGGCGGGAGCCGGAACCAGCCAAGCCGCGUGAAGGAAGAAGGCGCCAAGCGUCGUAAACUUCUUUUGUCGGGGAACAAAGGGCGCCACGUGUGGCGUUGUGAGUGUACCCGAAGAAAAAGCAUCGGCUAACUCCGUGCCAGCUGCCGCGGUAAUACGGAGGAUGCGAGCGUUAUCCGGAUUUCGUGGGGGUCAAGGGGGCGUAGGCGGUCCGGAAAGUCAGCGGUAACAGCCCGGGGCUCAACCCCGGCGAGCCGUUGAAACUGUCGGACUCGAGACGGCGAGAAGUACGCGGAAUGCGCGGUGUAGCGGUGAAAUGCAUAGAUAUCGCGCAGAACUCCGAUUGCGAAGGCAGCGUACCGGCGCCGGACUGACGCUGAGGCACGAAAGCGUGGGUAUCGAACAGGAUUAGAUACCCCUGUAGUC